rnacentral:rRNA from 1 species
UACGAAGGGGGCUAGCGUUGCUCGGAAUUACUGGGCGUAAAGCGUGCGCAGGCGGUUUUGUAAGCCAGAUGUGAAAUCCCCGGGCUUAACCUGGGAAUGGCAUUUGGGACUGCAAGGCUGGAGUGCGGCAGAGGAGACUGGAAUUCCCGGUGUAGCAGUGAAAUGCGUAGAUAUCGGGAGGAAUACCGAUGGCGAAGGCAGGUCUCUGGGCUGACACUGACGCUCAUGCACGAAAGCGUGGGGAGCAAACAGG